ACGUGCUGCGGUCGUUUGCGGCAACAUGCCGCCGUUGCAAGCUGGAGCGCCGGAGCGUUCGUCGCUCAACCGUUUUAGCUCAGUCCCUCCUCGCUCCCUCCGCGCGCUGCAUCGAAGCCGAGCGCGUGGCCGCUGUUUGUUGGACUGACAUCAGAUGCCACCGGCCCGAAGCGGAGGUGACCCAGCUGUUCAGCAACAGUGAGCACCGAGUGCGCAUGACUCAGGAGCUCGUGUGGACAUUCAACCACGGAGAUGUGUGAGCUGAGCCCAAAGGACCCAUGCAUGAGAUUGUCUCGGCCUCUCUGACUCUGCGUUUGACGUUCUUUGUUGUCAUGUCGCUAACCAUACCAGUGGAAUAAUUGUUGGUAAGCUUACUAUAGUUCUUUUCCUUCACUCUGCCUGUGCACGUCUCCAUACCUUCUCUC